rnacentral:rRNA from 1 species
CCUACGGGUGUCAGCAGUGGGGAAUAUUGCGCAAUGGGGGCAACCCUGACGCAGCAACGCCGCGUGAUUGAAGAAGGCCUUCUGGUUGUAAAGAUCUUUAAUCGGGGACGAAUUUUGACGGUACCCGAAGAAUAAGCUCCGGCUUACUACGUGCCAGCAGCCGCGGUACGACGUAGGAAGCAGGCGUUAUCCGGAUUUACUGGGUGUAACGGGCGUGUAGGCGGGCAUGCAAGCCAGAAGUGAAAUCUGGGGGCUUAACCCCCAAACUGCUUUUGAAACUGGGUGUCUUGAGUGCUGGAGAGGCAGGCGGAAUGCCCAGUGUAGCGGUGAAAUGCGUAGAUAUUGGGAGGAACACCAGUGGCGAAGGCGGCCUGCUGGACAGUAACUGACGCUGAGGCGCGAAAGCGUGGGGAGCAAACAGGAUUAGAUACCCUUGUAGUC